UACGUAGGGGGCAAGCGUUGUCCGGAUUCAUUGGGCGUAAAGAGCGUGUAGGCGGCCAGGUAGGUCGGUUGUGAAAACUGGAGGCUCAACCUUCAGAGGUCGACCGAAACCAUCUGGCUAGAGUCCGGGAGAGGAGAGUGGAAUUCCUGGUGUAGCGGUGAAAUGCGCAGAUAUCAGGAAGAACACCCGUGGCGAAAGCGGCUACCUGGCCUAAUACUGACACUGAGGCACGAAAGCGUGGGGAGCAAACAGG
rnacentral:rRNA from 1 species